rnacentral:rRNA from 1 species
UACGAAGGGGGCUAGCGUUGCUCGGAUUGACUGGGCGUAAAGGGCGCGUAGGCGGGUUCGCAAGUCUGUGGUGAAAGCCUCCAGCUUAACUGGAGAAGUGCCGUGGAUACUGCGAAUCUUGAGGAGGGUAGGGGCGUCUGGAACGGUCGGUGGAGCGGUGAAAUGCGUUGAUAUCGACCGGAACUCCGGUGGCGAAGGCGAGGCGCUGGACCCUUUCUGACGCUGAGGCGCGAAAGCCAGGGGAGCAAACGGG